CCUACGGGUGGCAGCAGUAGGGAAUAGUGCGCAAUGGGGGAAACCCUGAAGCAGCAACGCCGCGUGGAGGAUGAAGGUGUUCGGAGGGUAAACUCCUUUUGUGAGAGAAGAGAAUGACGGUAUCUAACGAAUAAGCACCGGCUAACUCCGUGCCAGCAGCCGCGGUAAUACGGAGGGUGCAAGCGUUACCCGGAAGUACUGGGCGUAAAGAGCGCGUAGGCGGGAUAGCAAGUCAGAUGUGAAAUCCUAUGGCUUAACCAUAGAACUGCAUUUGAAACUGUUAUUCUAGAGUAUGGGAGAGGUAGGUGGAAUUCUUGGUGUAGGGGUCAAAUCCGUAGAGAUCAGGAGGAAUACUCAUUGCGAAGGCGACCUGCUAGAACAUAACUGACGCUGAUGCGCGAAAGCGUGGGGAGCAAACAGGAUUAGAUACCCGGGUAGUC
rnacentral:rRNA from 1 species